UUCGAUAAGACAUUUUCCACCGGUUGCAUUUUGGACACCAGUCAACAUAAAACAGGGCGAGAUUUAUCAAAUUAAUCGUAAGCUUCCGGACUUGAAGCUGCAUAUGCAAUCAUGCAUCGAGGCAAGAAAGGUCCAGGGUAGACGCUUGAAACCGCUGAAAGUGCCACAUACAAGUAGAUACAAGAACCUUGGGCAGGACAAGGCCAGAACAAUGAGACCAAAGACCGCACCUUCUGCUCGGGAGCGAAAACCAUAUUUACCACCGGUGUCAUUUUGGACUUCAUUUGAUAUCCAGAGAAAGGAUAUAGACAAGAUAAACCAUGAUCUACCCAAUUUGCAGGAAUGUGCCAAAGCUCGCCCAAAAUCACGAAGGAGCAAGGUAUUAUUUUUUUUAUUGAGUCAUAUACAAUCAAUUAUGAUAAAGUUAGCAUUGACAUCUUUUGAAAUAUGAAUAGAAUCAAUUGAAAUGCUUAUG